CCUACGGGAGGCAGCAGUGAGGAAUAUUGGUCAAUGGUCGGGAGACUGAACCAGCCAAGCCGCGUGAGGGAGGAAGGUACAGAGUAUCGUAAACCUCUUUUGUCAGGGAACAAAGGCGGGGACGUGUCCGCGGAUGAGUGUACCUGAAGAAAAAGCAUCGGCUAACUCCGUGCCAGCAGCCGCGGUAAUACGGAGGAUGCGAGCGUUAUCCGGAUUUAUGGGGUUUAAAGGGUCCGCAGGCGGUCUGUUAAGUCAGCGGUCAAAGCCCGGGGCUCAACCCCGGCCCGCCGUUGAAACUGGCAGUCUCGAGUUGGGGAGAAGCAUGCGGAAUGCGCGGUGUAGCGGUGAAAUGCAUAGAUAUCGCGCAGAACCCCGAUUGCGAAGGCAGCAUGCCGGCUCCACACUGACGCUGAGGCACGAAAGCGUGGGUAUCGAACAGGAUUAGAUACCCGGGUAGUC
rnacentral:rRNA from 1 species